AUUGAACGCUGGCGGCAGGCCUAACACAUGCAAGUCGAGCGGAUGAGAAGAGCUUGCUCUUCGAUUCAGCGGCGGACGGGUGAGUAAUGCCUAGGAAUCUGCCUGGUAGUGGGGGACAACGUUUCGAAAGGAACGCUAAUACCGCAUACGUCCUACGAGCGAAAGCAGGGGACCUUCGGGCCUUGCGCUAUCAGAUGCGCCUAGGUCGGAUUAGCUAGUUGGUGAGGGAAUGGCUCACCAAGGCGACGAUCCGUAACUGGUCUGAGAGGAUGAUCAGUCACACUGGAACUGAGAAACGGUCCAGACUCCUACGGGAGGCAGCAGUGGGGAAUAUUGGACAAUGGGCGAAAGCCUGAUCCAGCCAUGCCGCGUGUGUCAAGAAGGUCUUCGGAUUGUAAAGCACUUUAAGUUGGGAGGAAGGGCAUUAACCUAAUACGUUAGUGUUUUGACGUUACCGACAGAAUAAGCACCGGCUAACUCUGUGCCAGCAGCCGCGGUAA
rnacentral:rRNA from 1 species